rnacentral:rRNA from 1 species
UACGAAGGGGGCUAGCGUUGUUCGGAAUCACUGGGCGUAAAGCGCACGUAGGCGGCUCUUUAAGUCAGGGGUGAAAUCCCGGGGCUCAACCUCGGAACUGCCUUUGAUACUGGGGAUCUCGAGUCCGGGAGAGGUGAGUGGAACUGCGAGUGUAGAGGUGAAAUUCGUAGAUAUUCGCAAGAACACCAGUGGCGAAGGCGGCUCACUGGCCCGGAACUGACGCUGAGGUGCGAAAGCGUGGGGAGCGAACAGG